rnacentral:rRNA from 1 species
CAAUAGCGUAUAUUAAAGUUGUUGCGGUUAAAAGCUCGUAGUUGGAUUUCUGUUGAGGUCGGGCGGUGUACACCUCGUGUAUUAUUUGCUUCGGUCUUGGCAUCCUCUUGGGGAACGUAUCAGGACUUUAUUGGACUGUGCGAGAUUCAAGACUUUUACUUUGAGGAAAUUAGAGUGUUCACGGCAGGCAAGUGCUUUGAAUACAUUAGCAUGGAAUAAUAAUAUAGGACCUUCGUUCUAUUUGUUGGUUUCUUAGAACUUAGGUAAUGAUUAAUAGGGACAAUUGGGGGCGAUUCGUAUUAACGCGUCAGAGGUGGAAUUCUUGGAUUGUGUUACGUACGAACUACUGCGAAAGCAUUUGUCCAAGGAUGUUUUCUAUUGAUCAAGAACGAAAGUAAGGGGAUCGAAGAUGAUUAGAUACCAU